UCGGGAAUAUUGCGCAAUGGAGGAAACUCUGACGCAGUGACGCCGCGUAUAGGAAGAAGGUUUUCGGAUUGUAAACUAUUGUCCACAGGGAAGAAAAAAGACUGUACCUGUGAAGCAAGCUCCGGCUAACUACGUGCCAGCAGCCGCGGUAAUACGUAGGGAGCAAGCGUUAUCCGGAAUUAUUGGGUGUAAAGGGUGCGUAGACGGGAUAACAAGUUGGUUGUGAAACCCCUCGGCUUAACUGAGGAACUGCAACUAAAACUAUUAUUCUUGAGUGCAGGAGAGGAAAGUGGAAUUCCUAGU
rnacentral:rRNA from 1 species